AACGAACGCUGGCGGCAUGCCUAACACAUGCAAGUCGAACGAGACCUUCGGGUCUAGGGUCGCACGGGUUCGUAACGCGUGGGAACCUGCCCUUAGGUUCGGAAUAACUCCCAGAAAGGGGUGCUAAUACCGGAUAAUGUCUUCGGACCAAAAAUUUAUCGGCUUUGGAGGGGCCCGCGUUGGAUUAGCUAGUUGGUAGGGUAAAAGCCUACCAAGGCGACGAUCCCUAGCUUGGCUGGGAGGAUGAUCAGCCACCCUGCGACUGGGACACGGCCCAGACUCCUACGGGAGGCAGCAGUGGGGAAUAUGGGACAAUGGGCGAAAGCUUGAUCCAGCAAUGCCGCGUGAGUGAUGAAGGCCUUAGGGUUGUAAAGCUCUUUUACCCGGGAUGAUAAUGACAGUACCGGGAGAAUAAGCACCGGCUAACUCCGU
rnacentral:rRNA from 1 species